rnacentral:lncRNA from 1 species
ACAAUCUUAAUAAAAGCGACGGAAAGAAUGAUUCAAGAUCCUGAUCCAUAUUCAUUCCUGUCAUAAUGAAGACCAAUUGGUAGGACCGAGAUGCCUUGUGGCCACUCACUGUAUGGUGUAACUUACCCAUGAGAGUAUCCUCGGGAUGGAUCGUCCAUUUGAAAAUGCUUCGACAUUACAUAGUUAACCGGUAGAUAAGGUGCUGGAGGCCCGUACUCAAAAGGCGGGGCACGCUCAGCUGGAUACGGAGCUGGUGGUCCGUAUUCUUGGACGGGCUCUGCGGGGUAUGGAGCUGGCGGCCCAUACUCUGCCGGGGGUGGUGGCGGUGGGGGAGGAGGGGGUGGCGGAGGAGGUGGUGGUGGUGGUGGUGGUGGUGGAGGCGGAGGAGAGCAGCUUCGGGUGCGUAUGGAGCUGGGGGUCCGUACUCCGCUGGAGGUGGUGGUGGUGGAGGUGGAGGUGGAGGUGGCGGCGGCGGCGGUGGUGGUGGUGGAGGGGGAGCAGCUUCGGGUGCGUAUGGAGCUGGGGGUCCGUACUCCGCUGGAGGUGGUGGUGGUGGAGGUGGAGGUGGAGGUGGCGGCGGCGGCGGCGGGUGGUGGUGGUGGAGGGGAGCAGCUUCGGGUGCAUAUGGAGCCGGAGGUCCAUAUUCUGCGGGUGGAGGUGGGGGUGGAGGCGGGGGUGGGGGUGGUGGUGGCGGAGGUGGAGGAGGUGCUAAUUCAGGUGCGUAUGGAGCUGGAGGUCCAUAUUCUGCAGGUGGAGGAGGAGGAGGAGGAGGAGGAGGAGGUGGCGGAGGGGGUGGAGGCGGAGGAGCAGCUUCGGGUGCGUAUGGAGCUGGAGGUCCGUAUUGUGCAGGUGGCGGAGGAGGAGGUGGGGGGGAGGCGGGGUGGGGGUGGAGGUGGAGGUGGAGGCGCAGCUUCGGGUGCGUAUGGAGCCGGUGGUCCGUAUUCUACAGGUGGGGGUGGCGGUGGUGGUGGUGGCGGGGCGGAGGGGGCGGUGGUGGUGGUGGUGGUGGCGGUGGAGCUGGGAGCUGGGGUUUGCUCCUUAGGGUACGGGGCAGGAGGUCCAUAAUCGAAGGACGGCGGCUUCUCCGCUGGAUAUGGUGCAGGUGGCCCAUAUUCUCUACUCAAUGGGGCGUGGUCGGCAGUCGCUAAUGCUAGCGAGAUCGCUAGCACGAUAUGCCGAAUCUGAAACACGAAACGCGGACGAAAAUUCUGUUAAUCGAUUUAUAUGGUAAAAGUAA